CCUGCUCUUAGGGGCAGUCCACAUGUGGCAGAGGUAUGCAUGAACCAUAGCAGGUGGCAGAGAGGAGAUAGGCUAUGUCUAUGUUCUAUGUUCUGACCUGUGAACAUCUGAGUGAUGAGUAGCCUAACAUU